AUUGAACGCUGGCGGCAGGCCUAACACAUGCAAGUCGGACGAGUGGCGGACGGGUGAGUAAUGUCUGGGAAACUGCCUGAUGGAGGGGGAUAACUACUGGAAACGGUAGCUAAUACCGCAUACCAUCGGAUGUGCCCAUAUGGGAUUAGCUUGUAGGUAAGGUAACGGCUUACCUAGGAGACGAUCCCUAGCUGGUCUGAGAGGAUGAUCAGCCACACUGGGACUGAGACACGGCCCAGACUCCUACGGGAGGCAGCAGUGGGGAAUAUUGCACAAUGGGCGCAAGCCUGAUGCAGCCAUGCCGCGUGUAUGAAGAAGGCCUUCGGGUUGUAAAGUACUUUCAGUCGGGAGGCGUUACCGACAGAAGAAGCACCGGCUAACUCCGUGCCAGCAGCCGCGGUAAUUC
rnacentral:rRNA from 1 species